rnacentral:tRNA from 1 species
GCCAAGGUGGCGGAGCGGCUACGCAAUCGCCUGCAGAUAUGCACAUUAUCAUGUGCUGGCAGUAAGCGGUUUUAUUCCGGUUCGAAUCCGGACCUUGGCU